ACGGGAGUAGGGGCAAGAUCUGUCUGAUAAGAUUGGGGAUAGAUGGCAAGAGGGUGUGGGGGCCUGAGGGUACAUGGCGGCGCCUCACACAAGACCUACCCAAUCAGAAUCUCCAGAUAAAACCGGUGUAAAACCGCCUCUGGCGCUUUGAGUCUGUCACUCUCAGCCCAGGGUCCUGGAUUCCUGACCACUCCACAUAUCAUGUGGGAUCUUAGUUCUCUGACCAGGGAUCACACCCACACCCCCUGCAUUGGACAUAUGGAGUCUUAACCAUUGGAACACCAGGGAAGUACCCUGAUCUCUUUUUCGGAGAUCUUCCUGACCCAGGGAUUGAACCUGCAUCUCCUGUGACUCCUGCCUUGCAAGCAGAUUCUUUACUGCUAAGCCACCGGGGAAACCCAUAGUUAUUCAAUAUUUCUAUACAUUUCAAAAUGAUCACCAAGAUAAGUCUGACUAUGUUAUGUUACCACUCAGAGAUAUUACAUUAUUAUUGGCUAUAUUCCCUACACUGUGCAUUUCAUAUGUAUGACUCAUUUAUUUUGCAGCUAGAAGUUUGUGCCUCAAUCUGCCUUACCUAUUUUCCUUCUCCCUCAGGCCCCUCCCCUCUGGCAAUUACCUGUUUGUUCUCCACAUCUAUGAUGCUAUUUCUACUUUGUUGUUUGCACACUUGUUAUUUUGU
ensembl:lncRNA